rnacentral:rRNA from 1 species
GAGCGGUAGCACAGAGAGCUUGCUCUCGGGUGACGAGCGGCGGACGGGUGAGUAAUGUCUGGGAAACUGCCUGAUGGAGGGGGAUAACUACUGGAAACGGUAGCUAAUACCGCGUAACGUCGCAAGACCAAAGUGGGGGACCUUCGGGCCUCAUGCCAUCAGACGUGCCCAGAUGGGAUUAGCUAGUAGGUGGGGUAACGGCUCACCUAGGCGACGAUCCCUAGCUGGUCUGAGAGGAUGACCAGCCACACUGGAACUGAGACACGGUCCAGACUCCUACGGGAGGCAGCAGUGGGGAAUAUUGCACAAUGGGCGCAAGCCUGAUGCAGCCAUGCCGCGUGUGUGAAGAAGGCCUUCGGGUUGUAAAGACUUUCAGCGGGGAGGAAGGCGUUAAGGUUAAUAACCUUGGCGAUUGACGUUACCCGCAGAAGAAGCACCGGCUAACUCCGUGCCAGCAGCCGCGGUAAUACGGAGGGUGCAAGCGUUAAUCGGAAUUACUGGGCGUAAAGCGCACGCAGGCGGUCUGUCAAGUCGGAUGUGAAAUCCCCGGGCUCAACCUGGGAACUGCAUUCGAAACUGGCAGGCUAGAGUCUUGUAGAGGGGGGU